GAGGGUAUAGCUCAGUGGUAUAUAGCAUGUGCCUAGCAUGCAUGAGGUCUUGGGUUCAAUCCCCACUACCUCCA
rnacentral:tRNA from 1 species